CAUAAAGAGAGCAGCAGACGCCGGUGAUCACGGGCCAGAACAGAGUCUGGGGGCGAGACUUGAACGCGGGAAGGGUGUCGGGUAUGACCUCAAGGGAAACUAAGCUAAAGCUGCCUCUGGACUUUGCAGGAGAGUGCCGCGGGAACGCACGUUGCAGCAGGAGCCGAAUCCAUGCCGUCUCUAGCAAUGGCUCUCAGACCAGCACAAGAAACAGGGUCACCAAAACCCCCAACGCCACAAGAGGGCCUGUAAUAAACCGGGUCCCUGCAGGGGAGGCUUCGCUCAGAGUCCCGAAUCCUGAGUCUUUCCAGAGAGGUCUGGCGCCCCGUUCAAAAUCCCUCUUUUAGCGGGCCGGCUCGGGGAAGGUCGGCGUGCGACGCCCCCAGCCACCUCUCUCACCUGGCCCCCGCCACCCCACCCCACGCAGCGCCACUCUCCCGAGGGGACCAAACUCUGUGAGACUGCAAGACGCACGUGGCGAUGAGGAAGGUAUAAAUCAUGCUGUCUCUUGCUACUUUAUUGUGAGUGAAAUGAAAUUUAGCACUUGCAAUAUGCCAUUCUGCUGCUUGCUGGACUCCAUUGUUUCUGAUGCCCCCCGAUUUGUCCCCUUCAUCCCACUCUGCCCAGGCCUGGGAAACUGCAUUUCCUACAUCAUUCCCCUGCUCAGGAAUGAAUGGCUCCCUACUGACUACCCAAGACAAUCCAGGUCUUCCUGGCCUCCUGGAUCUUCCAUGUUCUGGCCUGUCCUUACCUACUCUACUUACUUCCCAACCAGACACAAUAAUGGCCAUGGGAUUGUGGGAAAGAGGAAGACCAGCCAUUCAGACCUGCAUGACCACAAGUGACUGUACCACUAACAAAAGUACCCUAGCCUAAGGAGCAUAAAAAUAUCUUUUACAUGAAAUCAAUAACAGAAGCACUGAGAGUAAAGCAUGUUUUUAAAGAUGCUAGUGGGAGUGAUUCAGAGUCAGCAGAUCCAGGAUGUGGAUGUGAACUCUGAAUAGCUUUUCAGGUGCCAGAUCUGUGGCUUGAUCCCAUAGCUGCACAGUCCUUUAUAACCAGUCUUCCUUUCCUGGCACAGCAUUGCAUUGUGGGCUGAAUGUGUCCCCAAAAAGAUAUGUUAAAGUCUUAACCUCAAGUCCCUUAUUUGGAAAUAGGGCCUUUGCAGAUGUAAUUAGUUAGGAUGAGGUCAUUAGGGUGGGCCCUGAUCCAAUAUUACUCCUGUCCUUAUAAGAAGAGGGAAGACAAUGUGAAGACAGACACACAGGAAGAACACCAUGUGAAGACACAGGGACACACAGAUACAGAGGGUGUGAAGAUGGAAGCAGGAUUGGAGUGAUAUUGCUAUAAGCCAAGGGGCCAUCAGAACCCAGGAGUAGCAAGGAAAGGUCCACCUCUAGAGACUGAAGAGAAUAUGCCCCUGCUGAUUCCAUACUUCUACCCUCCAGAACUGUGAGAAAAUAAAUUUCUAUUGUUUUAAGCCACCCAA